CUACGGACUUAAGGAAAAUCCGUCGACUUUAGAAAUCGUGAGGGUUCAAGUCCCUCUAUCCCCA
rnacentral:tRNA from 1 species